GACGUAGGGGGCCAGCGUUGUUCGGAAUUACUGGGUGUAAAGGGUUCGUAGGCGGUGCGGCAAGUCGGGAGUGAAAUCUCUGGGCUUAACCCAGAGGCUGCUUCCGAAACUGCUGUGCUUGAGUGUGGGAGAGGCGCGUGGAAUUGCAGGUGUAGCGGUGAAAUGCGUAGAUAUCUGCAGGAACACCCGUGGCGAAAGCGGCGCGCUGGACCACUACCGACGCUGAGGAACGAAAGCUAGGGGAGCAAACAGG
rnacentral:rRNA from 1 species